GGAAUAUUGGACAAUGGGGGAAACCCUUAUCCAGCGACGCCGCGUGAGGGAAGAAGGUUUUCGGAUUGUAAACCUCUGUCAGUGGGGACGAUAAUGACGGUACCCACGGAGGAAGCCACGGCUAACUACGUGCCAGCAGCCGCGGUAAUACGUAGGUGGCAAGCGUUAUCCGGAUUUACUGGGUGUAAAGGGAGCGUAGACGGCAGCACAAGUCUGGAGUGAAAUGCCGGGGCUUAACCCCGGAACUGCUUUGGAAACUGUGCAGCUAGAGUGCAGGAGAGGUAAGUGGAAUUCCUAGUGUAGCGGUGAAAUGCGUAGAUAUUAGGAGGAACACCAGUGGCGAAGGCGGCUUACUGGACUGUAACUGACGUUGAGGCUCGAAAGCGUGGGGAGCAAACAG
rnacentral:rRNA from 1 species